CAUUUCUGGAAAGGCCCCCCCCCCAUUCUCUCUCUUCCUCCCGAGCUCGACCGGUGACACUGCAUUUUCUUCUCCGGCCUUGUUCUUGCUCCACAGGCUACCAAAUCACUCCAAACUUCUUCCAUUGGCUUUGCCUCGUCCUUACACACCCGUAUGUGGUGGCCUUGCACGGCGGCACUUCCUGUAGCGGCGGCGGUGAGCUUGUUUCGAUUUAAGCUCGAUUUUAGUCAACGCCGGUUUUCUCCUAGCUCCGGCCACCAAAACUUCCGAUCCUUGGCUCCAUGAACUCACCUCAACCUGCUGAUCAUCAUACUAGGAGGAUUGCACCUAGAGUGACCGGUUUCACUUUCGUCGGAGCUCGUAGGUUCGCCUUGAUGUUCUUAAAAACUCUCUAGAAGGAAUCGAGGCCUGAAAUUGAAGUUUUUACGUCGAAAAUCGAGCUCGCCGGUUUCUGCAAAUUCGCGCCGGUUUCUGGAAAUUUUCCGGCCACCUUCAUACUGUUCAAGGUGAUUGACGGUCUUCCUUGGUGAGCGGUUUUGGCGUGUUUUGUGAAAUUGAAGACGCAGCGGGAUUAGAGCGGGAAAUCUUGCAGGUUAGGAGAAUCAGGGCAGUGAUCGUGCGGGUUAGAGUAAUUGUUGUAGUUAUACGGCGAUUGUAAUAGUGAUGUGAGUGAUGCUCAAUUUGAGCUUUACAUAUUUACUUUGUAUAAGUGAGUUGUAAUAUUUAAUUUGAGGUUUGAAA